rnacentral:rRNA from 1 species
UACGGGGGGAGCAAGCGUUGUUCGGAUUUACUGGGCGUAAAGGGCGCGUAGGCGGUCAGCACAAGUCAGUUGUGAAAUCUCCGGGCUUAACUCGGAAAGGUCAACUGAUACUGUGCGACUAGAGUGCAGAAGGGGCAACUGGAAUUCUCGGUGUAGCGGUGAAAUGCGUAGAUAUCGAGAGGAACACCUGCGGCGAAGGCGGGUUGCUGGGCUGACACUGACGCUCGAGGCACGAAAGCGUGGGGAGCGAAAGCAUGAU